CAGCCCUUUGUCGCUAAGAUUC
rnacentral:snRNA from 1 species